GACACUUUGGCCGAGUGGACUAAGGCGCUGCCCUGCUAUUUGGUUACUUUACCUAACCUGUCAGGCAGUAUCUUCGGAUGCGUGUGUUCGAAUCACACAGGUGUCG
rfam:Aspergillus wentii DTO 134E9 unplaced genomic scaffold ASPWEscaffold_3, whole genome shotgun sequence.